CAGUGGGGCGUGCUAUACAUGCAAGUUGAGCGCUGAAGGUUGGUACUUGUACCAGACUGGAUGAGCAGCGAACGGGUGAGUAACGCGUGGGGAAUCUGCCUUUGAGCGGGGGACAACAUUUGGAAACGAAUGCUAAUACCGCAUAAAAACUUUAAACACAAGUUUUAAGUUUGAAAGAUGCAAUUGCAUCUACUCCAAAGAGGAUCCCGCGUUGUAUUAGCUAUGUUGGUGAGGUAAAGGCACACCAAGGCGAUGAAUACAUAGCCGACCUGAGAGGGUGAUCGGCCACAUUGGGACUGAGACACGGCCCAAACUCCUACGGGAGGCAGCAGUAGGGAAUCUUCGGCAAUGGACGAAAGUCUGACCGAGCAACGCCGCGUGAGUGAAGAAGGUUUUCGGAUCGUAAAACUCUGUUGGUAGAGAAGAACGUUGGUGAGAGUGGAAAGCUCAUCAAGUGACGGUAACUACCCAGAAAGGGACGGCUAACUACGUGCCAGCAGCCGCGGUAAUACGUAGGUCCCGAGCGUUGUCCGGAUUUAUUGGGCGUAAAGCGAGCGCAGGUGGUUUAUUAAGUCUGGUGUAAAAGGCAGUGGCUCAACCAUUGUAUGCAUUGGAAACUGGUAGACUUGAGUGCAGGAGAGGAGAGUGGAAUUCCAUGUGUAGCGGUGAAAUGCGUAGAUAUAUGGAGGAACACCGGUGGCGAAAGCGGCUCUCUGGCCUGUAACUGACACUGAGGCUCGAAAGCGUGGGGAGCAAACAGGAUUAGAUACCCUGGUAGUCCACGCCGUAAACGAUGAGUGCUAGAUGUAGGGAGCUAUAAGUUCUCUGUAUCGCAGCUAACGCAAUAAGCACUCCGCCUGGGGAGUACGACCGCAAGGUUGAAACUCAAAGGAAUUGACGGGGGCCCGCACAAGCGGUGGAGCAUGUGGUUUAAUUCGAAGCAACGCGAAGAACCUUACCAGGUCUUGACAUACUCGUGCUAUUCCUAGAGAUAGGAAGUUCCUUCGGGACACGGGAUACAGGUGGUGCAUGGUUGUCGUCAGCUCGUGUCGUGAGAUGUUGGGUUAAGUCCCGCAACGAGCGCAACCCCUAUUGUUAGUUGCCAUCAUUAAGUUGGGCACUCUAACGAGACUGCCGGUGAUAAACCGGAGGAAGGUGGGGAUGACGUCAAAUCAUCAUGCCCCUUAUGACCUGGGCUACACACGUGCUACAAUGGAUGGUACAACAAGUCGCGAGACAGUGAUGUUUAGCUAAUCUCUUAAAACCAUUCUCAAGUCCGAAAUGUGAGGCUGCAACUCGCCUACAUGAAGUCGGAAUCGCUAGUAAUCGCGGAUCAGCACGCCGCGGUGAAUACGUUCCCGGGCCUUGUACACACCGCCCGUCACACCACGGGAGUUGGGAGUACCCGAAGUAGGUUGCCUAACCGCAAGGAGGGCGCUCCUAAGUAGACCGAGUC
rnacentral:rRNA from 1 species